rnacentral:rRNA from 1 species
AUUGAACGCUGGCGGCAGGCUUAACACAUGCAAGUCGAGCGGAGUGAUGGUGCUUGCACUAUCACUUAGCGGCGGACGGGUGAGUAAUGCUUAGGAAUCUGCCUAUUAGUGGGGGACAACAUCUCGAAAGGGAUGCUAAUACCGCAUACGUCCUACGGGAGAAAGCAGGGGAUCACUUGUGACCUUGCGCUAAUAGAUGAGCCUAGGUCGGAUUAGCUAGUUGGUGGGGUAAAGGCCUACCAAGGCGACGAUCUGUAGCGGGUCUGAGAGGAUGACCAGCCACACUGGGACUGGGACACGGCCCAGACUCCGACGGGAGGCAGCAGUGGGGAGUAUUGGACAGUGGGCGCAAGCCUGAUCCAGCCAUGCCGCGUGUGUGAAGAAGGCCUUAUGGUUGUAAAGCACUUUAAGCGAGGAGGAGGCUACUUUAGUUAAUACCUAGAGAUAGUGGACGUUACUCGCAGAAUAAGCACCGGCUAACUCUGUGCCAGCCGCCGCAGUAA